rnacentral:rRNA from 1 species
UACGGAGGGGGCUAGCGUUGUUCGGAAUGACUGGGCGUAAAGGGCGCGUAGGCGGCCGCUUGCGUCGGAUGUGAAAGCCCGGGGCUCAACCCCGGAACGGCAUCCGAUACGGGGCGGCUCGAGACCGAGAGAGGUGAGUGGAAUACCCAGUGUAGAGGUGAAAUUCGUAGAUAUUGGGUGGAACACCGGUGGCGAAAGCGGCUCACUGGCUCGGUUCUGACGCUGAGGCGCGAAAGCGUGGGGAGCAAACAGG